GUGGGGAAUCUUCCGCAAUGGACGAAAGUCUGACGGAGCAACGCCGCGUGAACGAUGACGGCCUUCGGGUUGUAAAGUUCUGUUAUACGGGACGAAUGGUACGACGGCCAAUACCCGUCGUAAGUGACGGUACCGUAAGAGAAAGCCACGGCUAACUACGUGCCAGCAGCCGCGGUAAUACGUAGGUGGCAAGCGUUGUCCGGAAUUAUUGGGCGUAAAGGGCGCGCAGGCGGCGUCGUAAGUCGGUCUUAAAAGUGCGGGGCUUAACCCCGUGAGGGGACCGAAACUGCGAUGCCAGAGUAUCGGAGAGGAAAGCGGAAUUCCUAGUGUAGCGGUGAAAUGCGUAGAUAUUAGGAGGAACACCAGUGGCGAGAGCGGCUUUCUGGACGACAACUGACGCUGAGGCGCGAAAGCCAGGGGAGCAAACGGGAUUAGAUACCCGAGUAGUCC
rnacentral:rRNA from 1 species